CCGCUGGGGACACCCGCCGGCGUCACCCGGUGCCUGGCGUCGCCCAGAACCUGGUGUCACCUGGAACCUGGUGGCAUCUGGUGGCCUCAUCGCCCACCCCGCUUGCUCACCAAGCGCCCAUCCGGGGGGCUACCGGCACCCAUGGGUGCCAGCACCCGCUGGGGACACCCGCCAGCGUCACCCGGUGUCACCCGGCACCAGGCGUCGCCCAGAACCUGGUGUCACCUGGAACCUGGUGGCAUCUGGUGGCCUCACCACCCACCCCGCUUGCUCACCAAGUGCCCGUCCCGGGGGCUACCGGCACCCAUGGGUGCCAGCACCCGCUGGGGACACCCGCCGGCGUCACCCGGUGUCACCCGGCGCCUGGCAUCACCCGGAACCUGGUGGCAUCUGGAACCUGGUGGCCCCAUCACCCACCCCGCUUGCUCACCGAGCGCCCGUCCUGCGGGGACCCGCACCCAUGGGUGCCAGCACCCGCUGGGGACACCCGCCGGCGUCACCCGGCGUCACCCGGCGCCUGGCGUCACCCGGAACCUGGUGGCAUCUGGAACCGGUGGCCUCUGGUGGCCUUACUGCCCACCCCGCUUGCUCACUGAGCGCCCGUCCUGCGGGGACCCGCACCCAUGGGUGCCAGCACCCGCUGGGGACACCCGCUGGCGUCACCCGGCGUCACCCGGCACCUGGCGUCGCCCGGAACCUGGUGUCACCUGGAACCUGGUGGCAUCUGGUGGCCUCAUCGCCCACCCCGCUUGCUCACCGAGCGCCCGUCCUGGGGGCACCCGCACCCAUGGGUGCCAGCACCCGCUGGGGACACCCGCCGGCGUCACCCGGCGCCUGGCGUCACCCAGAACCUGGUGUCACCUGGAACCGGUGGCCCCAUCACCCACCCCGCUUGCUCACCGAGCGCCCGUCCUGGGGGGGGACCUGCACCCAUGGGUGCCAGCACCCGCUGGGGACACCCGUGCGAGUGUGCGAGACCCUCGUGCGAGACCCCCGUGCGAGGGGGGGGGCCGCUCACCUGGGGCUGGGGGUCGGACCAGAGCAGAUCACACAUGGGACCUGGGGGGGGGAAGGGGGGGGACAUGGUGAGGGGACCCCACUGGGUGGGGGGCACCCAGGGGACCCCCAGGGACC
rnacentral:lncRNA from 1 species